rnacentral:rRNA from 1 species
AUACGGAGGGUGCAAGCGUUAAUCGGAAUUACUGGGCGUAAAGGGUACGUAGGCGGUUCGUUAAGUUAGAUGUGAAAGCCCCGGGCUUAACCUGGGAACUGCAUUUAAAACUGGCGAACUAGAGUUGAGUAGAGGGGAGUGGAAUUUCAGGUGCAGCGGUGAAAUGCGUAGAGAUCUGAAGGAACACCAGUGGCGAAGGCGACUCCCUGGACUCGAACUGACGCUGAGGUACGAAAGCGUGGGUAGCAAACGGGAGUAGAAACCCCAGUAGUCC